rnacentral:lncRNA from 1 species
AUAACUGGCCCCACACCGCUGUUUUGCUCCUCAUAGAGACCUGGAGGUCUCUUAGGGAGAAGUUUGAGUGUCCCACCAUAAAAAAAAAACAAGCUUGGGAGAUGGUUGCGGAGUGCCUCAGAAAGGAAGCAGUUAAUGUGACAUGGCAGAUGUGUGACAACAAGUGGAGGAACCUUAGGCACAGAUACAAAAUCAUCAGUGAUGGGCAUGGGAAGACAGGACAGGGCCGGCGAAAGUGGGAGUAUUUUGCCGUGCUGGAAGAACUUUUUGCUGGCGACCCAGCUGUGCAGCCCACAGUAGUCAUCUCCUCAACCCCAACAUUCACAACCCCUCCCCCACCACCACCACCAGAUCAGGAAACACCAUCAACUUCAGCUACCAUGACUACGCCACCGGUGAAGCCGAAAACAAAAAAAGACAAAUUGGAUGACAAAUUAGAGGAAAUCAUUAAAUUACAAAAAGAAACGAUAGCUUUUCAAAAAGAAAGAAAUGACAUCCUUAGGCAAUUCACUGCAGCCAUGGUUCGCAUGUCUCAGGGCAAUGAGCAGUAACUUAUUUAUUUUAUUUUAAUAAUUGACUUUAUCUAACUUAUUCCAUUUAUUAAUUUAUGUAAUUCCAAGGCAAUAUAUAAUAAACACAACAAACAAUAUACUUGACUAAGUAGUGAUUCAUUUAUUAACUCUUUUAGGCCUAUUCUGACCUAUAACAUUGCCGCAAUGUCCUCCCUCUUUUGCUGUGCUGCUCUCCUCUGUACCACCCUAGGCCCAUCUACAGUGGGAAGGACAUCAUCAAGACCAUCGGCGUCCACAAUUACUGCCUCGUCUUCUCCUUCAUGGAUAAGAAUUAAAUUGUGUAGGACACAUGUGCUGGCAAUUACUUUAGGAAUGGUAUCAAGUAGGACCAUGUCAAGGUGGUGGAGUCUUCUCCAUUUGCAUUUUAAAAGUCCAAAGGCACGUUCAAUGUGCACCCUUGUUGAGCUGUGGAUAUUGUUAUAAUUUUUUUGACGCUCAGUUAAAUGUCCAUUGUCUCGGUAUGGGACAAGAAGGUUUGAGUCGAGUGGGUAGGCAGAAUCACCAAGUAAAUGGUACUGGGCAGGGAGGGGAUGAGCCGUCAGCAGGGCCUUUAGGUCACUGUUCCGGUACACCCUUGAAUCAUGUACAGAUCCAGCAUUUCCAGUGUGUAUGUGUGUGAAACGCAACUGGCUGUCACAUACUAGCUGGAAACUAGCAUAUGCCUUUCUGUUAAUGAAAGCAUCUCUAUGGGUUGAUGGCCCUUUGAUGGGGAUGUGACUGCCAUCAAGGCAUCCCAGGACACCAGGGAAACCUCCCUUUCGCUCAAAUCUUUCAGCCGUAGCAGGGUAUUGUUCAGGCGAUGGCCAGCGUAUAUAUCUUGUCACUAAUGCGCUGAGGCCCUCAACUACUUGCAUCACAUAGUAAUGUAAACUGCCCUUGCUGACCCCAAACCUAUCAGCCACUCCUCUGAAGGAUUCUUUGUUGGCUAGCAGCCACAGUGUUGCCAAGAUGCGUAGCUCCAGUGCAGGUUCAUCACAUUGAUUUAGAUGAGGUCCAAGGUCUUGGCAGAGUAUCUAAAAUAGACCAAAAGACAUUUCUUCAUGCAUACAUAGCCCACUUUGUGUAGCCGGGAUAAUAACUAAUGGCGAGGCAGAUGUGUAUCUUAAAUAAACAGAGAGCCUAUGUAACAUUGAUUGUAUCAAACGCUGCUCUCUUCGGCUACGUGACAUUCGUUGCCAUGGCAUUAAACUAAACUAUAUUGAAAUCAUUUACUCCUUUCCUACAAGUAAGUUAACCCUGGGUUAACUUACCCGGUUAUGUGAUGAAACCGGCUUUGUGGAACACCCCACAGAGCGAACAAACUCGGGGUUGCCUCAAAACCAGCUACCUGAAACAGGGCUCAGAGCAACCGAGAGUUAAGGCCGAUAUAUGCUCUGUUUUAGACGUAACGCGUAAGCACGUAAGAUACAUAACCCCCCCUUGCGCGGUAAAAUAUCCCCCCUUACGUGCUUAAGUGCGUCGGCCAAAAUUCCUGACUCAGAGACGUAAGCACGUAAUUUACACAAGGGACUUGUUUUAGACAAGUUUUGAUUUACGGUUCCUUUAAGGUUCCUUAAGGCCUAUUUAUGGUCGUUUUAGACGCAGAGACGUAAGCACGUAAUUUACACAAGGGACUUGUUUUAGACACGUUUUGAUUUACGGUCCCCGUAAGGACUGCGCGUGUUGCAAGGGGAUUCUCCGCCAGAACAGUAGGGGGAGCAACGAACGAAUCUGUGGGCGUGGAAGUGGAAAUCGCUGGCUUGUUUAUAUUUAUAAUCAUAGCCGCGGAAACGUAUUAGGGGUUGGACUCGCUACAUUGAUAAAAAAGAUAUAUAGCAGCGCAGCUCAAUUACACCAGUGCAUGCGCGCACAGUCGAAAAUCGAUCGUUGUGUUUACACCAUGGUUCACAUCCAGCUGCUCACAGAACAAGUUUAGCGCGCCACCGCUCCCCUCAUACUUUUUCAUAUAACUUUUUUUCAGCACUAGGUCAUAUGAGCAUUAAAUAAAUGCUGCGUCUCAAAAUGCCUUGGACAGCAGCGACGAUGACCCGCUUUGCCACGGGCCGAAACAGUGCGGAGCGACCACAGCCAGAGCGAACACAGCGGGGCAGAGGAGUGUCAGGAAUAGUCUUUUGUGUACACAUCAGUACGGCCCAUUUGCACUACUGUUUAGUGGCAAUGCAGUGUUUUAUUAUAUGCCUUUUAAUUUUCGUAUAUUAUUUCAAUGAAUACAAUUUAUUUAUUUAUAAAAACAAGAUCUGGUCUUCAAAUCUUUUUUCCAAACAUAGGUCGGGUUUGUGUUUAUAUUCGGACCAAUACGGUACAGCGGGCGCCCACAUGACGUUAAGCAUUUCCUGGUGCAUAAUGUGACGCUUCAGAACCUAAAAUCCCGUUUCUCCCCGUUGACACAACACAUAACCGGCGUUUUCAGAAAUCUCCACUUUGGCCGGAGUUUUUAUAAUAAAAUAAUCGUUUUCUGUGAUAAGACAGGGCCUCAGACAGGGGGUGCGGCAGCACCCCCAGCACCCCUACUUCCCGCGGUACUGUUUAUAAUUAUCAUAAUUCGUUCUUGUGUUUUCUUCUUCUCCUUCUUCAAAAUACUUCAUUUGCUUCUGUCACAGCCUUUUAAAAAAUGGCGCUAUUAUGCUGUAAAACCGGAAAUGUUGAGACUCCUGAAAGGAUGUGGUUAGCUGGCCAAUCACAGUCCUUACGAGCUGCGUAGGGCCGUAGUGUUUUAGUCGCAUAGUCAGGAAUUUGGGCCGACGCACUUAAGCACGUAAGGGGGGAUAUUUUACUGCGCAAGGGGGGGUUAUGUAUCUUACGUGCUUACGCGUUACGUCUAAAACAGAGCAUAUAUCGCCCUUUAAGGAUUGCGCGUGUUGCAAGGGGAUUCUCCGCCAGAACAGUAGGGGGAGCAACGAACGAAUCUGUGGGCGUGGAAGUGGAAAUCGCUGGCUUGUUUAUAUUUAUAAUCAUAGCCGCGGGAACGUAUUCUCAGCAGGGGGUGCUGGAAAAAAAAAAACUCAGCCUGGACUAGACUCGCAACUCGCUACAUUGAUAAAAAAGAUAUAUAGCAGCGCUAUAUAUCUCAUGCUUAUUAGAAACACGUUUAACGGUGAAUCGGUGCUAAAAUAUUGCAUUUCCCAUUCAGAUAAUAAAGAUUAAUAUAGAUCAUACACAUUCACUUACUGGAGAUUAUGCAAGGAAAAGGCAUAUUUCUCGCUAGAAAUGUUAUUAGAAACACGUUUAAUGGUGUAUCUGUCCUAAAAUAUUGCAUUUCUCAUUCAGAUAAUAAAGAUUAAUAUAGGCUAUACGUAACAAUUUCACCAAAUGCUAGGAGAACGUCUCGCCCCCUGUUGGUGCUAUUCCUCCAUUCAUUUAGAAUGGAGAAGAAAGCGUGUUCUCCUCACGCUUUGGUCAGGCAAAGCGUGACCCUGAACACGCCUUGCGAUGUGGACGAACGUAUCUAUUUCACGCCUUGGCGUGAUACCGGGUGUGUGUGUGUGUGUGUGUGUGUGUGUGUGUGUGUGUGUGUGUGUGUGUGUGUGUGUGUGUGUGUGUGUGUGUGUGUGUGUGUGUGUGUGUGUGUGUGUGUGUGUGUGUGUGUGUGUCGCGUGCGACGCGAGUAUGCCGGUCACGGGUGAAGCACCGCUCGACGCCAAUGUUGUUUUUGUAAAAUCUUG